AGCGUUGUUCGGAAUUACUGGGCGUAAAGGGCUCGUAGGCGGACAACUAAGUCGGAUGUGAAAUCCCCAGGCUUAACCUGGGAACUGCAUCCGAUACUGGAUGGCUUGAAUUCGGGAGAGGGAUGCAGAAUUCCAGGUGUAGCGGUGAAAUGCGUAGAUAUCUGGAGGAAUACCUGUGGCGAAGGCGGCAUCCUGGACCGAGAUUGACGCUGAUGAGCGAAAGCUAGGGGAGCAAACGGG
rnacentral:rRNA from 1 species